rnacentral:lncRNA from 1 species
GCAUGUCUUGGCCAAGGUUGGCACUCCUUGCGCCUGCUAAAGACAAGGGUCGCCGGUGGGUUAGACUUUUUAUACACAUAAGAGUGAAACAAAUAUGCCCUAGAGGCAAUAAUAAAGUUAUUAUUUUAUUUCCUUAUAUCAUGAUAAAUGUUUAUUAUUCAUGCUAGAAUUGUAUUAACCGGAAACUUGAUACAUGUGUGAAUACAUAGACAAAACAUAGUGUCCCUAGUAUGCCUCUACUAGACUAGCUCGUUAAUCAAAGAUGGUUAAGUUUCCUGACCAUAGACAUGUGUUGUCAUUUGAUGAACGGGAUCACAACAUUAGAGAAUCAUGUGAUGGAGAAGACCCAUCUGUUAGCUUAGCAUUAUGAUCGUUAAGUAUUAUUGCUAUUGCUUUCUUCAUGACUUAUACAUGUUCCUCUGACUAUGAGAUCAUGCAACUCCCGAAUACCGGAGGAACACCUUGUGUGCUAUCAAACGUCACAACGUAACUGGGUGAUUAUAAAGAUGCUCUACAGGUGUCUCCGAAGGUGUUUGUUGGUUUGGCAUAGAUCGAGAUUAGGAUUUGUCACUCCGUGUAUCGGAUAGGUAUCUCUGGGCCCUCUCGGUAAUGCUCAUCACUAUAAGCCUUACAAACAAUGUGACUAAUGAGUUAGUUGCGGGAUGAUACACUACAGAACGAGUAAAGAGACUUUCCAGUAAUGAGAUUGAACUAGGUAUGAUGAUACCGACGAUCGAAUCUCGGGCAAGUAACAUACCGAUGACAAAGGGAACAACGUAUGUUGUUAUGCAGUUUGACCGAUAAAGAUCUUCGUAGAAUAUGUAGGAGCCAAUAUGAGCAUCUUGGUUCCGCUAUUGGUUAUUGACCGGAGAUGUGUCUCGGUCAUGUCUACAUAGUUCUCGAACCCAUAGGAUCCGCACGCUUAACGUUCGAUGACGAUUUGUAUUAUGCGUUAUGUGAUUUGAUAUACCGAAGGUUGUUCGGAGUCCCGGAUGAGAUCACAGACAUGACAAGGAGUCUCGAAAUGGUCGAGAGGUAAAGAUUCAUAUAUUGGAAGGUUGCAUUUGGACAUCGAAAUGGUUCCGAGUGAUACGGGCAUUUUUUCGGAGUACCGGGAGAUUGCCGGAACCCCCGGGGGAAAGAUAUGGGCCUUAUGGGCCAUAGGAGGGAGGCUAACCAGCCCACAAGGGGCUGGUGCGCCCCCCACAAGGGAGGAGGCCGAAUUGGACUUGGGAAGGGGGCGCCACCCCCCUUUCCUUUUCCUACUCCCUCUCCUUUCCCCUUUUCCCCCUCUAGUAGAAGGAAAAAAGGGUGGGGCCGAAUCCUACUAGGACUGGAGUCCUAGUAGCCCCGCGCCGGUAACUUCAUCAUCACCGUCACCACGCCGUAGUGCUGACGAAACUCUCCCUCGGCCUCAACUAGAUCAAGAGUUCGAGGGACGUUACCGAGCUGAAUGUGUGCAGAUCGCGGAGGUGUCGUGCGUUCGGUACUUGAUCGGUUGGAUCGCGAAGACGUUCGACUACAUCAACCGCGUUACUAAACGCUUACGCUUUCGGUCUACGAGGGUACGUGGACACACUCUCCCCGGUCGCUGCUAUGCUUCUCCUAGAUAGAUCUUGCAUGAUCGUAGGAAUUUUUUUGAAAUACUACGUUCCCCAACAAAGAGAUGUCCAGCGGGUUAAAGUAUUGGAUUGACAUGUUAUACUUACCAAGAUGGCGGCUGUCAUUUGAAUAAUAUGUUGCUUUAAGCCGGAUAAUUCUCCAGUCAUUGGCUUAAGUGCAGCCUCAACAUCUUCGGCCCUUUUCGCCAGCACAGCCUUCUCAAUCUCCCAGUCGGCUCUCUUAAUGUCAAAAUCUGCUUUCAACUUUUCAGCUGCUUCUAAUGAGGCCUUCAAUUCUGACUUGGUUUUGGAAGAUUCUGCUUGC